rnacentral:rRNA from 1 species
UACGUAGGGACCGAGCGUUGUCCGGAAUCAUUGGGCGUAAAGAGCGUGUAGGCGGCUUGCUAAGUCUUGCGUGAAAUCUCGGGGCUCAACCCCGAGCGGUCGUGGGAAACUGGCAGGCUAGAGUGCGGGAGAGGAGAAUGGAAUUCCUGGUGCAGCGGUGAAAUGCGCAGAUAUCAGGAGGAACACCGAUGGCGAAGGCAGGUCUCUGGGCAUUAACUGACGCUGAGGAGCGAAAGCAUGGGGAGCGAACAGG